rnacentral:lncRNA from 1 species
UGAUUGAAAUAAUGAGGAUUUAAAUACCUCAUGUGCCUAUAUUCUUGACAAUUAUAAAACCCAGGCCCCAUACUCCUCUCUAUGUCAGUAAAUGUUCCCAUGCAAACCCAGUCUUUUUUAUUUCCACAUUUCAAAUAAUAAGAAAGAGAAAACUCACAAGUAAAAACAAAACAAAACAAAACAAAUCAAAAAACAAAAACAAAAACAAAACAAAACAAAAAAAACCUCAGUUCUGUCUCUGGUGUAUGUUCUAGUUCUGGUUACUGCCUACUUAGCUUCAUUUAUGCUUAUGUUCUGAUGCUCAACUGUAAAAUAAACAUUGCAAAAAGGGACAUUUUUCUGAUAGAUCUUCAUGUUGAGGACCAAGGAAAUCAGCCUACAUAGAAACAGGUCCAAGGAAUAAUAUUUCCAGAGGAAUGACUGGCAUAGGGUAAAAGAUGUAGAGGGAGGGUUUGUGUUACUCAGAGCUGGAAAGACAAUGAAAAGUUAGAAGGCUUUCUAAAAGUUAAAUUCAAAGAAUAGUCAGUAUAUUUGAUGAAGUUCUAAUGCCUACCACCAUUUGGGGGAAAUCAUCUGGCCAUAGCUAUUCCUGUACACUCACCUCUUGGCCAUGGUAUUUCUAUCCACUUUACUAUGCUCUCAUAGUCAAAGAAAAACAUGUCAAGAUGAAAAAUAUGUUGAAUACAAGUCACCCACUCUAAUCUGAAGAGGCAAGUGUGAAAUGCAAGUCUUCAGGAUAUUUUAAUAUAAUAUUGCAUUUAGGGAAUCAAUGAUGAGAUGUAGGUUAUAACUAUCAACAUAGCUUUGUAACAGAAAAUGUAAUGGUCAGAAAGACUUUUUGAAAACUCCUGUAAUUUGGAAACAUAAUUAACCAUUUACAAAGAUUUAUCAGCCACUGACUUUAAAUUUCCUUUGUUAGCAUGUUAACUCUCCCACAUUUUAGAUUCUAAAUACCUAACUAUAUUUUAACCAUGUAAUCACAUAUACAAAUCCAAUAUUAUCUCAGAUAUAGCAGAAGUAUCCCUCUGUAAUUUAAUCAUUGUGGUUUCUUAUUAGUAUCUACCAAGUUAUAUUUAUGAAAGUAGAAUAAAAUCUUUAGAUCUCGAACUUAUUUUCGAAACACUUGAAGUAUAAUUAAGGCCGUAUUUGCCCAACUAUAAUAAUAAUAAUAAUAAUAAUAUAGAAAUUAGAAUUUAACUUCAUGUCAUGUGGGAAAUAUGGAGAUAAUCCUUCAUUUGGAUUUGAAUAAUUUUUUAAUUUCUUAAUUU